rnacentral:lncRNA from 1 species
CUAAGAGCUAACAGAAGUUUCUGGAUCUAGUUGAAAUGCAGCUUGGUGAGGCUGAAUGGAAGGCUGAGCAUGAAGAAUGUGCUGAUCUGCUCAAGACGUGUCAGUUGUUUGUUAACUUUCGGAGGAUUUGAUUUCACUAAGACGAUCUGUUACUGCUGUGGGAAUUAAUUAAAGUCUGCAUUCAUCUGGGACCAUUUAGCCUCACUUGGAAACGUGCAUGAGAUACUGGAUUUGGGGCUGAUCAUCAAAAGCCCUGAUAACCCAAGCUGCGUGUUUGUUUGAUCUUUGUGAGCUGCUGUGACCACUGCUGUGUGAUCCAAAACACAGUUAUGUCAGAUGUCCUGUUUGAGAUGUGGCCUAUUCUUGAACUGUGGAGCACUUAGAUGAUGAUGCAGAGUGGAGCAAUGUGUAUCUCUCCAGAGCUUCGUGGAAGUGACAAGUGAAACAGAUGGCGAGCAGUCCCUGGACCCACCUUCUCUGGUGUGUGAUGAUGGGAGCCAACCAGCAGUGCUGAGGGGAGGAAGAGGAGCAUCGCCCCGUCACACCAUGGCCCCACGUGCCGGCCCGCCUGAUGGCGGCUGGGGCUGGAUGAUUGUGGCCGGCUGCUUCCUGGUCACUAUCUGCACCAGGGCCGUGACGAGGUAAAGGGGCU